AUUCCCUGCAGGGCUGCUCUGAUUCUAUCUGGCCUGGGUUUAAAUGACUCAAGGAAUUCUCCAGGGGAAACUCAUCUAUUGGAACAGCUGUUACUAACAGGGCAUUUGCUGUUCUUCAACCAAAAUUUCAGCCUGGUUCUCCUGACAUUUUCGGUUAUUGCUUGCUUCCAGGAUACAGCACUGUCUUUCCAUACGCAGGGCCCCAGGUAGGACUGCCUGGGGUGUGGAUGGGGGUGGAUGGGAGCAUGCUGCUGUCUCUGUAUUCAGAAGUCUGUAACCUAAGUGUGCCCCAGGAAAACUGACAGCUGGGAAAUUUAGCUAAAUAAACAGUGUCCUGAACACGCAGCUUUCCAUUACAAUAACAUACAAGCCAAGAUGUUAAGGAGUCAAGGAAGACUUCAACAAAGCCCAGAGAAGCCACCUCUGUUUGGGUUUCAGCAGCUGUCUGCCUGUGGAAGGCUCCAGAGUCACUGACACAUAUUUAUAUCUCCAUUUUGCUAACGUCAUAAGGAACAAACAUGUUCAGAUCUUCCCCAGAGGCACAAGGCCAUUUGUAUUUCUUCAAAUUAAAGGGGGCAGGGCAGGAGGCAAAAAGCUUUUGGAACAAAUCAUCUGUGUUCUACAUAGGUGUUCUACAGUCCUGUGGGAAAGGGUCUCCUCCUCUGAGUUCCCAGCCCAUCCCAGCAGGCUGUGCCAGCGCCCCAGCAGCAAAGAAUUCUAGCAAUGGCAGGAAUUUCUUGAAGAAAGGAGCUCUGGCUUGACUAGACCAUCAUUGUCUAUGAAGCCUGGUUGUUUGAUGUCUAUGCUUUAGAGAACAGAUCACAAAUCCUGGAUCCUGAGACCUGGACAGAUACUAGACAUGGACAGCUCAGCUCAGAGCCUGAUACUGACCACAGCACACACACCUGCAAAAAGAUGGGGCAAGAGAUAGGUUGCUCCUCCUCAGAGCUGCUGGGUACAGUGAACAGCCUUGUGGCCUCCUGGCUCAGCCACUAGGAGCUCCCUAGCAAUCAGUAAGCACUCAAACACUGACCUCUCAGCCAACCAGAGCACACUGGGAAGGGAGCCUGCCCAUGGAGGCCACACCCACCUCCACACUCACCUUCACUUCAGAAGACCAAGUUAGUGCUUGGAAAAAGUAUGCUAGAAGAGAUGAACGCCUUGCUAAGGAAAAACAUCAAAACAUCAUAAAAAAAACCAUCCAUGACAUCAGAGGGCUAUAAAGGCUUAACAGACUGAAAGGCUGGUCAGCUCAAGCUAAAAUUUGGCUGUAGGCAGAAGGAUCUCUCCUGCUUUCAGGGAGGACAACAUGGCGUGGAUCAGUAAACUAUAUCGACUCGAGAAUGAAGGUGAAAUGAAGAUGAGAGGGAGACUUCAUGAGCACACAAGGGCAAUUCUGAGAUCUAGAACACCCACAGCCCCCAUAGGGAGGUAGAGGUGGGACAGAAGAGCACUGUGUCUCCAUCUGGAACCAUGAAGCCGCAAUGGAGCUGAGAGGCACAAGUGAGUUCCACAUGCAAGAGGCAAGUAUCAGCACCAGUGAAAAUGAAGCAUAAAGAUCGCAAUUUUUCAAGGG
ensembl:processed_transcript